UAACGAAUAUUCCGCAAUGGACGAAAGUCUGACGGAGCAAUGCCGCGUGCAGGAUGAAGCGGUUUCGCCGUGUAAACUGCUGUCAGGGGCAGGAAAAACUGAUCCGCCCCAAAGGAAGAGACGGCUAACCCUGUGCCAGCAGCCGCGGUAAUACAGGGGUCUCGAGCGUUAAUCGGAAUCACUGGGCUUAAAGGGUGCGUAGGCGGAUCCGUAAGCGCUUUGUGAAAUCCCCCGGCUCAACCGGGGAACUGCAGGGCGAACUGCGGAUCUUGAGGAAACUAGAGGCCGGUAGAACGAUUGGUGGAGCGGUGGAAUGCGUAGAUAUCAAUCGGAAUGCCAAAAGUGAAGACAGCCGGCUGGGGUUUUCCUGACGCUGAGGCACGAAAGCGUGGGGAGCAAACCGGAUUAGAUACCCAAGUAGUCCCUGAGCGGGCUGGCAAGGCGCAU
rnacentral:rRNA from 1 species